rnacentral:lncRNA from 1 species
UUUCAAAGUUAAUAGCUGAACUAAAUCACACAAUUUAUGUAGGAAGAAAGUUAUAAUACCUCUGCAACCUCUUCUGCUAAUUCAAACGCAGUUUUUUGCAGAAGAUAUUGUGCAAGAAUAUCAAAUAAGAGAAAUUUGACUUGCUCAUCAAAUCCUUCGGAGACAUGUAGAAUCAGGCGAUAUCUAUAAUGUUUAUAAGUAAGAAGGAAGCAAAAAUAAUAAGUAAUGGUUAAAAAGCAUACACGUAUAAAGCAAACU